rnacentral:lncRNA from 1 species
AAUGGAAUGCAUCAUUUUGACAUCUCUGCAGAUCUGUAUUCCGAAAGGCUAGAAUUGUUCCUAACAAAAGAAGCAGGUACUCAGAUAUCCACGAAGUCCUCCUCAUCUCACACCAUCGUUUCUCUCACUGGGCACAAUCCAGCUUUAAAGAAUUCAACACUUACUGGUCUUCAGAGGACUGUCAGCAAUGACAGCAACCAGGGAUGCUGACAUGUCUUGUUGUUUACAAAGGAUGAGCACAAGGCCUUUUGGAUAACCUGAUAAGCCCUGCAACUCCUCUCUCCCUGUUCCUCACCUCUCUGGACCAGCUGCCUUUGUGUGGAAGGGAAUCCUGGGAAGUUGGACCUCCUUUCUCCUUUUCCUUUUGCUGCCUUUCAGUGUUGAAUACAUGGAAGGAAGGAAAGUAUUUGGUUCAAU